rnacentral:rRNA from 1 species
UGGCGACCUUAGCGCUGUGGUCCCACCUGAAUCCAUGCCGAACUCAGAAGUGAAACGCAGCUGCGCCGAUGGUAGUGUGGGGUCUCCCCAUGUGAGAGUAGGACAUCGCCAGGCG